rnacentral:rRNA from 1 species
CAGUCGCCACGGUAAAACGGAGGUGCAAGCGUUAAUCGGAAUUACUGGGCGUAAAGCGUGCGUAGGCGGUUCGUUAAGUCUGUUGUGAAAGCCCCGGGCUCAACCUGGGAAUGGCAAUGGAUACUGGCGAGCUAGAGUGUGUCAGAGGAUGGUGGAAUUCCCGGUGUAGCGGUGAAAUGCGUAGAGAUCGGGAGGAACAUCAGUGGCGAAGGCGGCCAUCUGGGACAACACUGACGCUGAGGCACGAAAGCGUGGGGAGCAAACAGGAUUAGAUACCCCAGUAGUCCCUGUCUCUUAUACA